GGUAAAAGUGGUUUUCAUCCUCACACCAGUUUAAUGGACUGGACGUUAACUCUCUUGCUCAAGGUCACUCUGUGAGUGGAAGAGUGGGGAUAAAUCUGGUUCGUUUGGCAUCAGAGGCCAUGACUUUUCCUACCACAGAAGUAAUUUUCAAAGUAAGUCUCUGCCCUAGGCACAUCAGAUCACCUGGGGACCACUCCAGAGUGAGUAGACAAGACUUUGACAGGGGUGCCUAAUUUUUUUUUUUUUUUGAGAUGGAGUCUCGCUCUGUUGCCCAGGCUGGAGUUGCAGUGAGCUGAGGUGGUGCCACUACACUCCAGCCUGGGGGAGGGGGACAUAGCGAGACUCGAUCUCAAAAACAAAAC
rnacentral:sRNA from 1 species